GAUGAACGCUGGCGGCGUGCCUAAUACAUGCAAGUCGAGCGAAGCGGGGACGGGUGAGUAACACGUGGAUAACCUCCUAUAAGAUUGGGAUAACUCCGGGAAACCGGAGCUAAACGGGAUAUUAAUGGUGGAAUCCGCGCUGCAUUAGCUGGUUGGAAAGGUAACGGCUUACCAAGGCAACGAUGCAUAGCCGACCUGGGAGGGUGAUCGGCCACACUGGAACUGAGACACGGUCCAGACUCCUACGGGAGGCAGCAGUAGGGAAUCUUCCGCAAUGGGCGAAAGCCUGACGGAGCAACGCCGCGUGAGUGAUGAAGGUCUUCGGAUCGUAAAACUCUGUUAUUAGGGAAGCGGUACCUAAUCAGAAAGCCACGGCUAACUACGUGCCAGCAGCCGCGGUAAUUC
rnacentral:rRNA from 1 species